rnacentral:misc_RNA from 1 species
AAAAAAAAGGGCUAAUUCCAGGACAGGCACGACUCUAGAGUAGGAAAGCUCGAAUAAGUGUCAAAGUCUAGCGCAGCAUGAGGCCCGCCAUCAGAUACCACGGGUUGUGGAAAAGAAACUGUCCCGGACCCAUUAACGGGUGCAGAGACCGAGCCAGAGCCAGAGCCCGAGCCCACAAUCGUUUGCUGUUGCUCUUCAUGAUGAUGAUCCAGCAUAAACGCCGACGUAUCUAAGGUCGGCAAGCACCCUCCAGCGCCAUUCAACCGGUUACCAGGUCUCUGUGGCUCCGGCUUCAGCACUGGUA